GAUGAACGCGGAGGCGUGCUUAACACAUGCAAGUCGAGCGAGAAGUUUUGAAAAGAUUCUUCGGAUGAAAUUUAAAAUGGAAAGCGGCGGACGGGUGAGUAACGCGUAGGCAACCUGCCCCAUACAAAGGGAUAGCAUUGGAAACGAAUAUUAAUACCUUAUGAAACUUAACUAGUGCAUGCUAGGUAGGUCAAAGAUUCAUCGGUAUGGGAUGGGCCUGCGUCUGAUUAGCUAGUUGGUGAGGUAACGGCUCACCAAGGCGACGAUCAGUAGCCGACCUGAGAGGGUGAACGGCCACAUUGGAACUGAGACACGGUCCAAACUCCUACGGGAGGCAGCAGUGGGGAAUAUUGCACAAUGGGGGAAACCCUGAUGCAGCAACGCCGCGUGAACGAUGAAGGCCUUUGGGUCGUAAAGUUCUGUUCUAGGUGAUGAAAACUGACAGUAACCUAGGAGAAAGCCCCGGCUAACUCCGUGCCAGCAGCCGCGGUAAUACGGAGGGGGCAAGCGUUAUCCGGAAUUAUUGGGCGUAAAGGGUACGUAGGUGGCCUUUUAAGCGUAGGGUAUAAGGCAAUGGCUCAACCAUUGUUCGCCCUAUGAACUGGAAGGCUUGAGUGCAGGAGAGGAAAGCGGAAUUCCUAGUGUAGCGGUGGAAUGCAUAGAUAUUAGGAGGAACAUCAGCGGCGAAGGCGGCUUUCUGGACUGCAACUGACACUGAGGUACGAAAGCGUGGGGAGCAAACAGG
rnacentral:rRNA from 1 species